rnacentral:rRNA from 1 species
GAUGAACGCUGGCGGCGUGCCUAAUACAUGCAAGUCGAGCGAACGGACGAGAAGCUUGCUUCUCUGAUGUUAGCGGCGGACGGGUGAGUAACACGUGGAUAACCUACCUAUAAGACUGGGAUAACUUCGGGAAACCGUAGCUAAUACCGGAUAAUAUUUUGAACCGCAUGGUUCAAAAGUGAAAGACGGUCUUGCUGUCACUUAUAGAUGGAUCCGCGCUGCAUUAGCUAGUUGGUAAGGUAACGGCUUACCAAGGCAACGAUGCAUAGCCGACCUGAGAGGGUGAUCGGCCACACUGGAACUGAGACACGGUCCAGACUCCUACGGGAGGCAGCAGUAGGGAAUCUUCCGCAAUGGGCGAAAGCCUGACGGAGCAACGCCGCGUGAGUGAUGAAGGUCUUCGGAUCUUAAAACUCUGUUAUUAGGGAAGAACAUAUUUGUAAGUAACUGUGCACAUCUUGACGGUACCUAAUCAGAAAGCCACGGCUAACUACGUG